CAAGAAGUAGUUUAAAAAAUACUAGCAUUGGAAGCUAAUGAUCCAGAUCAAUCUGGUUUCUUGA
rnacentral:tRNA from 1 species